rnacentral:rRNA from 1 species
GUGGGGAAUUUUGGACAAUGGGCGAAAGCCUGAUCCAGCCAUGCCGCGUGCAGGAUGAAGGCCUUCGGGUUGUAAACUGCUUUUGUACGGAACGAAAAGACUCCUUCUAAUAAAGGGGGUCCAUGACGGUACCGUAAGAAUAAGCACCGGCUAACUACGUGCCAGCAGCCGCGGUAAUACGUAGAGUGCAAGCGUUAAUCGGAAUUACUGGGCGUAAAGCGUGCGCAGGCGGUUAUAUAAGACAGAUGUGAAAUCCCCGGGCUCAACCUGGGAACUGCAUUUGUGACUGUAUAGCUAGAGUACGGUAGAGGGGGAUGGAAUUCCGCGUGUAGCAGUGAAAUGCGUAGAUAUGCGGAGGAACACCGAUGGCGAAGGCAAUCCCCUGGACCUGUACUGACGCUCAUGCACGAAAGCGUGGGGAGCAAACAGGAUUAGAUACCCGGGUAGUCC